UCCUACACCUCAAGCCGGCAAACACUGACUUGUUAUUUUCAAAUAGCUGUUUCUAAAGUACUAAACAAGACUGUUGUUGGAAAAAAAGAGCCAUCUUUUUUUCCCCCACAAGUCGGGGAAAGAAAAUGCUAGGGUAUACAAGGACUUAAUUGUUUGGAUGGUUCAGUCUGUAAUGUUGCCUGAGUUUUCCCAUUGGUCUCCCACAGACGUUUCUGAGGCAUCCAGAAAAAGCUGGAUUGGACUUCUCCUUAUUUUGCAGAAGCAAACUCCCAUCAAGGUAGCAUGAAAUAUUUUAAACAGUCCUUAAAGAAGAGAGAUGUAUCUUAGA